CUUGAUGCUAGAGAAAAUAAUAGCAAGGAUUUAAAGAAGCUAAAAUUAGAUAUCAUGUGAUCUUUACCUAUCUCUAGAGUGUGACUAUAUAUUUUGUCCCAUUGCAGUAAUAAAUGUUUUCUCUGUGAGUCCAAAAAUUCUUUCACUACAAUGGAAUCUUUAAUAACCCUCUUGGGUUAUUAACCUCAAUAUAUAAAUAUAAGGGAGAAUACCCAAGAGAAUAUCAAAAGCAAAUAGUAGUAGUCCUUUUAGUACCUGUGAUGUUGACAGACUAUUUCAGUUUUCUCAAGCUCAGUGCUACAUGCCUUCAAAAGAACUUUCUGCCAAAUUAUAGCAGCAACGUGAUAAGAGUCUUACAACAUGGUAUUAUGUUCAAUAUAGUAAUCUUGGUUCCAUUUCCCACAUCUUACCCAACACAAGGCCUUCAAAACCUUCAUGACAACAACAAUUUGUAUGUGCCUUUGAAUACCAAGAUAUUUGACUUAAAUAAAUAACUGCAAUCUUUUGCCAAAGAAUGAUGCUAUAAAAAGCUUGUAGUAUUUAAAUGUAUUUUUAUAUGAAGACAGCAAUGGUAACUAUUAAUUUUAUCUUUUAUAAUUAAUACUCUCUCAGAUUAACAAUUAAUCCAACCCUGUCACACCAUUUAGAUUUUGAGAGCAGUCUGAAAUAUUUUUAAAUGCAGUUCUGGGAAACUUCUCCAUCACAAUGAUAUUAUGUCAUAAACAUAGACAAAAUUGAAGAAACUCUUUCCAUUGAGUGUAAUUAAAAGAUCAUUUAUUAUAAGGCACCACAGCAGAGGAGAGAGCAUUUCCUCAGUAAUCAAUUACUGACCACAAACAUCUGAAAUUCCUC
rnacentral:lncRNA from 1 species